UUCCUCUCUCUCUUUUUUUUUUUAUUAGUCUAAAGCUUGGUCUAUUUAGCUUGAGUUUUGGGGUAGUAGCUAUGAUAAGUUGUUGCUGAUUUUUUUUGGAUAGAGCUUAUUAAAUUGUUGGGCUGGGUUCGUGAACUACCAUGAGUGAAUGCUGUAGAAAGAUGGCUAUGAUUUGCUAUUGUUCUUGGUCUAUGCGGCAGACUAUGGUUCGCUUGCACUAUUUGUUAUGAUGUGGAAAUCCUAAAGCCCUAAGUUCUGGAGCAUGAGGUUCUAAUAUGAUGCACAGUGGAGUAUUUUGAUUACCUUGCCAGAGGAUCCCUCUUGUUCUUGUUGAGAUGCUCCUAGGCUCACUGUCACUCCCUUCACUCUCUUUGCUCCUUCGAUAUUUUUGGUGUUUAAAGGUGGUGUGGAGGGGGUUCAUAAGUAUUGUGGAGGGGCUUUUAUAGGCAGAAUUCUUGAGGUACUAUGGGGGAUUAAUUGGGGCUGUUAUACUAUUUUGUUCCCAUCUUGCAGAGAAUCCCCUUUGACUAUGAUUCUGCAGCAAGAUGUACUUGAGAGAUGGCUCUAUUUGAGUACUUAGUACAUGGAUAUUAAUUGACAAUUGUUUGUUGUGGCUGGUGAGAAACAGGUGCUGCAUUGGUGCUGCAUUGGUGUGGAGGAUUGCAGGCUGGACUGCCCCUUUUGGGUAAGUCUUUGGUCUCUCAACUAAAGAGAUGUUGUCUCCUUCCUUAUGGUUGGGAGAAGACUGGGCUGCCGAGCUGCUGUCCGGGGCGGAUUGAUGCCUCGGGCUCCACGGCUGAUCGGCUACGGCCGCGAACUCUCGGCCCGGAGGAAGAGGCCCGAGGACGUUUGAUUCAUGCACAUUCAAUCUCUUCUUUUCUUGAAGCCUCGUUCCAUACAUUAUGUAUAUAUAUAUUUUUUUCUUAACUAGUUGUUCGCUUAUUGCAUAAGAAGUGUUAUUCGAAAAUUUUGAUAUUCUUCAAUGUAUUUCCAAUACUUUUAGUUCA